AAGGAAAAACAGAGAGAGGGAAAGCAGAAAUAAGUGAUUGUGUAAAUGAAAGAAGAGCAAGACAAAUGCAGGCCAGCUCUUAGCUGUUUUCUCCUCACACAAGGGCGCUCUUGGAGGAACGGAAAAUACGGAGAAUGGAUGUAGACACUUCUUAAAGUGGGUGAGACAUCCAUGCUGGUGUCAAUGCCCAAAUCCUCCAAAUAUCCGCCUGCCUUUACUCCGGCAAACAGAAGCCCAUGUGUGGUGUCAUGUGAUUGGUCGGGAUGAGCUGCUGCUCCUAAGCAGAGGGCGGAGUUUCAAGAGCUGUGUUAGCAGCGCCGAUUACCUCAUGCAGACUCACUGAAAAUGUCAGAAACUGUUCAGCCUUUUAUGUUCAAACCGGAGUCGGACAAUGAUGGAGAGACUCAAGAAGAAGUGACAACAUGUAGAAUGCAACAGGAUGUUUCUGAAUGGUUAGUUGCUUAAUUUAUGUAGCUGAUGUGGAGUUAACUAUCUUAAAUUCAUUGAUUAGCAUAUUCUGUCAUGAUAAUCUGUAAAUCGCUGAUGUGGGAACUGUUGUAAGAUCCUACAGAGCCAGAGAAUAUAUGCUGCAUGGAGAGAGAACAGGUAUAGUUUAGUUUAAUUACGGUUAUAACUUAUGUUUGCAUCUUGCUUUUAUGACAUGCUAUUGCAUUUGUGUUACAUACUGUAUUGCAAUAACAUCACCUCACCCAUUUGUUGCAUGUUCUCGGGGGCAGGGUUUAUGCAAAUUUUAGGGUUAGUGAUGCCACUAACCCGGUAAGAAGCUUGUUGUAGUCCCUACCAGCUGUCCUUAAACAGAAAAUUCUUUAAAAGAAAAUAUCUCUAUUUGCUUUGAACUUUGAGCGUCCUAACUUUGCAGAUGUUGUUUGUGCUCUAACAGUAACAUCACACACUAACUAAAGUUAAAAAAGUGAAAUCAUAAUGAACCACCCCUUUAAAUACUGAAAGAAAAAUGUCUCAAUGUUUUUUUUUGCCCAUGCAAUUAAAGUCAAUGGGGUCCAACAUUCUUCAAAAUAUCUUCUUUUGUGUUCCACAGAAGAAAUAAAGUCAUGAGGGUGAAUAAAUGAUGAAAGAAAGUUCAUUUUUGGGUGAACUAUUCCUUUAAGAAAUGAUUUGGCACUAAGUCAGGGCCUCAAGCAAUAAACAACAUGCUGAUUCUCAGAAUACAGGGAACUUGUUAACUUCCAGUAAUACUACACAGAGACUCUUCCAGUAGCCCUGCACAGGGGUGAAAUGAGCAGUUCGACUCAAUGCUGUACUCAGUAGUGACUCACACUGCUGAACCUUGCACUGUGGACGCCGCUCGGUCAGGGAUAUACACAAACAAGCUACCCUGACACACACUUGCUGUCUAGGUGAGGACAGUAGCACAGGUCAAAGCAAAGUGCAUUGUGGUAUUUGGAGUUUCAUGUCAUGCAGCAGAGGCUGUGUGAUCUUUCCUCUGAAAAUGGAAACCCUUCAGAGCGGCAUGUGUAAACAGUGCACUAAAGUUCUCUCAUUGUGAUGGGGUGGUGGGGGGUUCUCUCUGUGUUUUGAGCACCCCCUCAGCUCAGCAUCUCCACCCCCAUUUGGUUAAUUCAUCAUGUAAAUAGAUCAGCAGGCCGGCUUGUGUUUGCUUUGCGUGGGGAGCCCCCCAUGUGAGUGAGACAAGAGGUAGAGAGAGAAUAUCUACCAGACAACCAGUUUUUAUACUUGUAUAUAACAGAUCAAGAGACCAAGGUUAGGGAGACCAGGCUUUAAAAACAUCCAACACGUGCAAGAAUAUCACCAAACAAGAAAAGCUCAACUAAAUUAUUAUUUUUUUUGUAUGGAACACAAAAGGGUAAUAUUUGACAGCUGUUUUACAUUUUUGACAUAUUUAAUCCCCCCCCCCCCCCCC